CGGACGGGUGAGUAACGCGUGAGAACCUGCCCUCAGGAGGGGGAUAACGGUUGGAAACGGCCGCUAAUACCCCAUAUGCCGAGAGGUGAAAUGAAUUUCGCCUGAGGAUGGGCCCGCGUCUGAUUAGCUAGUUGGUGGGGUAAAGGCCUACCAAGGCGACGAUCAGUAGCUGGUCUGAGAGGAUGAUCAGCCACACUGGGACUGAGACACGGCCCAGACUCCUACGGGAGGCAGCAGUGGGGAAUUUUCCGCAAUGGGCGAAAGCCUGACGGAGCAACGCCGCGUGAGGGAUGAAGGCCUCUGGGCUGUAAACCUCUUUUCUCAAGGAAGAAGAACUGACGGUACUUGAGGAAUAAGCAUCGGCUAACUCCGUGCCAGCAGCCGCGGUAAUACGGAGGAUGCAAGCGUUAUCCGGAAUGAUUGGGCGUAAAGGGUCCGCAGGUGGCAUUGUAAGUCUGCUGUUAAAGAGUCACGCUCAACGUGAUAAAAGCAGUGGAAACUACAAAGCUAGAGUAUGGUCGGGGCAGAGGGAAUUCCUGGUGUAGCGGUGAAAUGCGUAGAUAUCAGGAAGAACAUCGGUGGCGAAGGCGCUCUGCUAGGCCAAAACUGACACUGAGGGACGAAAGCUAGGGGAGCGAAUGGGAUUAGAUACCCCAGUAGUC
rnacentral:rRNA from 1 species